CCUACGGGAGGCAGCAGUGGGGAAUCUUCCGCAAUGGGCGAAAGCCUGACGGAGCAACGCCGCGUGAUCGAAUGAAGGCCUUCGGGUUGUAAAGAUCUGUUGACAGGGACUCAUAAGCAAUGCGAAUAGCUUUUUGUAUGUCGUUAACUGUUUAGAAAGCUCUGGCUAACUACGUGCCAGCAGCCUCGGUAAUACGUAGGGAGCAAGCGUUGUCCGGAUUUACUGUGCGGAAAGGGCGCGUAGGUGGGCGCUUAAGUCAGGUGUGAAAGCUUCGGGCUCAACCUGGAGAUUGCACUUGAGACUGUUUGUCUUGAGUACUGGAGAGGCAGACGGAAUUCGUGGUGUAGCGGUGAAAUGCGUAGAUAUUAGGAGGAACACCAGUGGCGAAGGCGGUCUGCUGGACAGCAACUGACGCUGAGGCGCGAAAGCGUGGGGAGCAAACAGGAUUAGAUACCCUUGUAGUC
rnacentral:rRNA from 1 species